rnacentral:lncRNA from 1 species
GGCGCAUAGAAUGGAGACUUCCGGGCCAUGUCAGGCCUUUUGCUUUUACUAGAUGGAGUUUCACCACGUUGUCUAGGCUGGUCUCUAACUCCUGACCUCGUGAUCCACCUGCCUCGGCCUCCCAAAAUGCUGGGGUUACAGGCGUGAGCCACCGCGCCCAGCCCUGAUAUUCAUUUUAAAGGAAUCUCUGUGUGUAGUGUUGAUGGCAGACUUACAGGAACAGGGCAGAAGCACGGAGAGAUCAGUGAAGAGUUAAAUCCAGAACCGAGAUGCACCUGAGAGAAAUUACAUCACAUUAUUCAUCAAUGGGGGCACAUAUACAUGUGUAGAGUUGCUCUUCCGUAUCCAUGGGGGAUUGGUUCCAGGAUUCCUUCAGAUACCAGCAUGUACAGAUGCUCAAGUCCCUCAGAUUUGUCGAAGAUUAGAUAGCGAAGUCAUGGAACCAACCCAAAUGCCUAUCAACGACAGACUGGAUAAAGAAAAUGUGGUACAAAUACAUCACAGAAUACUAUGAGGCCAUAAAAAAGGAAUGGGAUCACAUCCUUUGCAGGUACAUAAAUAAUGCUGGAAGCCAUUGUCCUCAGCAAACUAACACAGGAACAGAAAACCAAACACUGCAUGCUCUCAUUCAUAAGUGGGAGCUGAACAAUGAGAACACAUGGAUACAGGGAGGGGAACACCACACACCAGGGCCUGUUGGGGGGUGAGGGAGGGCAGGGGGAGGGAAUUUAGAGGAUGGGUCAAUAGGUGCAGCAAACCACCAUGGCACACAUAUUCCUGUGUAACAAACCUGUACGUUCUGCACAUAUAUCCCAGAACUUAAAGUAAAAUAAAAAAAUAAAAUAAAAUAAAAAAUAAAACU